GAGUCACAGCAGAGCAGAUGGGCUCUCCCCGUCUAGACAGAAUGGUAGUGUCCCAGACGGAAAGGUCUCCCAGGCCAGACAGUCCUGAAGCACCACCCUGCUGCGGGGCCUCUGAGGCCCAGGAGGAGGAACAUAAGAGAACAACAGCACUGUCCUCGCUGGUGGUGUAAUUAGCAGGUAUAACCAUGGAAUAGGAGCCGAUGCUGGUGAGGACACUGUCAGCGGAGUUGGAAGGCUCAGGAACCACAGUGGGAUUCCACUGAUCCCAAGAGAAUGUUGUGAUGUCCUUUGUCUCUACCACGGGAGGAUUCAGCCUUCCAGCAUCACCCGACUCCAGGCUUGCCUGCUGGCCCUCAGCAGUGCCAAGAUUCAAUGUGUUCAGAGUCUGCCCAAUGCGGGGUUCAGGGUGGAAGUGGGUUCACGUAGUCCCUGCCUGUGAAGCCUGUCGGCUGUGGUCCCGGUGUGGCUUUUGUCUCACUAUGUGCAGACAGAUUCAUUCCAGGCUCUCUGCAGAUGUUCUCUAGCUAACUUCGAUCACACUCCAGGCAGCUGUGGCUCUUGUGUCGCAGGGCACCCUGGAAUCAUCAUACAGGAUCUCUCUCACCACCAGAGAGGAAACAGGCACAGGGAUUCCAGGAGACUUGCUUGGUGAUGAUGUCAGAAUCACUUUCCUGUGGCACUGUCACCAUUUGCUUCCUGAGCACUCCGCAGAGAAGGCAGUGGGUGUCCAAGAGGGGGAGAAGCCUGUUUGAGUCGAAAAAAACCUUCCCAGGACACACUCCGGUUUUUGUUUCUGUUGUUAGGUGGAGUUUCUCUAUGUA